ACGACUGCUAAGACUGGAUAGGAGAAAAGAAGGCAUCUUCUUAUUUUUAAAAGACCUAGCAAUAGGUAUGCUUAGAGAGGAGCUUGCGUCACAUUAGUUAGUUGGUGGGGUAAAAGCCUACCAAGACGAUGAUGUGUAGCCGGGCUGAGAGGUCAAACGGCCACAUUGGGACUGAGACACGGCCCAAACUCCUACGGGAGGCAGCAGUAAGGAAUUUUCGGCAAUGGAGGAAACUCUGACCGAGCAACGCCGCGUGAACGAUGAAGUAUUUCGGUACGUAAAGUUCUUUUAUUAGGGAAGAAAAGAUGGUGGAAAAACCAUUAUGACGGUACCUAAUGAAUAAGCCCCGGCUAACUAUGUGCCAGCAGCCGCGGUAAUACAUAGGGGGCAAGCGUUAUCCGGAAUUAUUGGGCGUAAAGGGUGCGUAGGCGGUUAAAUAAGUUUAUGGUCUAAGUGCAAUGCUUAACGUUGUGAUGCUAUAAAAACUGUUUAGCUAGAGUUGGAUAGAGGCAAGUGGAAUUCCAUGUGUAGUGGUAAAAUGCGUAAAUAUAUGGAGGAACACCAGGAGCGAAGGCGGCUUGCUGGGUCUUAACUGACGCUGAGGCACGAAAGCGUGGGGAGCAAACAGGAUUAGAUACCCUGGUAGUCCACGCCCUAAACGAUGAGUACUAAACGUUGGGUAAAACCAGUGUUGAAGUUAACACAUUAAGUACUCCGCCUGAGUAGUACGUACGCAAGUAUGAAACUUAAAGGAAUUGACGGGACUCCGCACAAGCGGUGGAUCAUGUUGUUUAAUUCGAAGGUACCCGAAAAACCUCACCAGGUCUUGACAUGCUUUUGCAAAGUUGUAGAAAUACAGUGGGAGGUUAUCAAUUGCACAGGUGGUGCAUGGUUUGUCGUCAGCUCGGGUCGUGAGAUGUUGGGUUAAGUCCCGCAACGAGCGCAACCCUUGUUGUUAAUCGCCAGCAUGUAAUGAUGGGGACUUUAGCAAGACUGCCAGUGAUAAAUUGGAGGAAGGUGGGGACGACGUCAAAUCAUCAUGCCCCUUAUGACCUGGGCUACAAACGUGAUACAAUGGCUGUUACAAAGGGUAGCUAUAGCGUAAGCUUUUGGCGAAUCUCAAAAAAGCAGUCUCAGUUCGGAUUGAAGUCUGCAACUCGACUUCAUGAAGUUGGAAUCGCUAGUAAUCGCGAAUCAGCAUGUCGCGGUGAAUACGUUCUCGGGGUUUGUACACACCGUCCGUCA
rnacentral:rRNA from 1 species